CGCGGCCUAUCAGCUUGUUGGUGGGGUAGUGGCCUACCAAGGCGACGACGGGUAGCCGGCCUGAGAGGGUGACCGGCCACACUGGGACUGAGACACGGCCCAGACUCCUACGGGAGGCAGCAGUGGGGAAUAUUGCGCAAUGGGCGGAAGCCUGACGCAGCGACGCCGCGUGGGGGAUGACGGCCUUCGGGUUGUAAACCUCUUUCAGCAGGGACGAAGCGAGAGUGACGGUACCUGCAGAAGAAGCACCGGCCAACUACGUGCCAGCAGCCGCGGUAAUACGUAGGGUGCAAGCGUUGUCCGGAAUUAUUGGGCGUAAAGAGCUCGUAGGCGGUCUGUCGCGUCGGCUGUGAAAUCCCGAGGCUCAACCUCGGGUCUGCAGUCGAUACGGGCAAACUGGAGUACUGCAGGGGAGACUGGAAUUCCUGGUGUAGCGGUGAAAUGCGCAGAUAUCAGGAGGAACACCGGUGGCGAAGGCGGGUCUCUGGGCAGUAACUGACGCUGAGGAGCGAAAGCGUGGGGAGCGAACAGGAUUAGAUACCCUGGUAGUCCACGCCGUAAACGUUGGGCGCUAGGUGUGGGGCUCAUUCCACGAGUUCCGUGCCGCAGCUAACGCAUUAAGCGCCCCGCCUGGGGAGUACGG
rnacentral:rRNA from 1 species